rnacentral:lncRNA from 1 species
GGGGGGAAAAUGAGAGAAUCAGGUCACUGAGCUGGAGCCAGGAAAAAUCCACAGGAGUGGAAAUUGGAGCGAUGAAAGCAUUUCAUAUUAACACAUCCAAAGCCUGAAUGGGCCCGGCCCAGAGGAUGUCUUCCCCCUCCUGGAAAGCGGCUGGGGGGCUGAAAGACCUCUAGGCUUUUCUCUGUCAAAUUCAUUCACUAAUCAGCGCUAUUCAGCCAAUCGCCCAUGUGGUCUUCUGCGCGGUGCCCUGCAAAGCGCCAGGACCACAUAGCAACGAUUAUAAUCAAAACCACUGGAGACUCUUAUGUCAGCUUCUGAAAUACGACGCUUCAAAGGCAGACAUGCCUCCAAUGAAAACCAGCACUUUCUUUCUCUUGCUUUCUUUCUGCCAAGUCUACAGUUUUAGAUUCAAGCACUUGAUAAUUAUAUAUCAAUAGAGACAGAAUGCAUUUUGCCUAAAGCAAAGACAUAAAUGGUUUUAAGGGCAGGCACAGUGUCACAUGUCAGUAGACAUUAGCUGAGGUUAAACUCUGCUGAUGUGACUAGAAUAUUGACAUCUCUGUUAGAGUCAAUAUCUCGAAAUUGACGGUGUGGCUUGGCAUACCUAUUUCCUUAAUGAUUUUCCAGUGUAAUACAAACAUAUCUAACAGCACUCCACACAUCUCAGGGGCUUACACUCCUGCCUCUCCUGUGUUCAUCAGACUGCCAAAGCUUUUUGUUAUCCAAACUUCAGCUGAAAGUGGGAUAUGAGGCACAAAGUACAAUCCUGAAAAUAUUGGCCAAAAAAAUAUGUUUCCCUCUCUCUCCCUACCUAGCUAUGUACCUACCUCUCUAUCUUCUAUCUUGUUUGUAUGGCUAAUUAUGCUGCACCUCAGACCUUCGUCACCCAACUCCAGGCAAGUUUCCUUGAGUACAGACACCCAGAAAAGACUGAGAGACAAAAACACAGAAAAACAUGACUUUGCUCAGCAAGAAAACCCAAGAGAAAUGUGCUUCUGUCCUCUGGUUUACGCAUUGAUCUCUGAUUUCCUGGUUCUCUACCUGCCCUGCUGCAGCUAGCCUCACCUCACGUGGCAAGUUGUUGAUGACUAAGGCGGAGGUUUUGUUUUAUUUUAUCUGGAUAAUUCCAGAUGUUAAUGACUUCCAAAACGCUUAUCCCUCUGUUUCUGCUCGGUUUGACUUUCUAACUCCAUGCAUCCACUUAUGAUGCUACCUAGACCAUGAUUCUGAACUCUAGUUCUAUAGGAGAGUCUGACAGAGAGUUUUAAAAAUAUACUCAUCCCCAAGCAGUUGAAAUAGAUUACCUGGAAUAGGCUAACCAGUAUCCUUUAAUUAAAAAAAAUGGCAAAACUCUUGUCUAAACUACGUUCGGUUAUCUAUUGCUGUAUAAUAAACAACAUCCCUAAGGGCUU